CCUUCGGCAUAAACACCAAAACCUUCACCUCCUGUAUAUUUCAUAAGUUCUUAAAAAAAAUAAUAAUAAAUAAUCAAGUAAUAGCUUUGGGGGAAACUCUUUGUAGAUUCAAAAGAAGUAUCAAGGGCCCCGAGAUUAUCGAUCGUUCUUCAAGCAGGUCGACCAACAUACCUGAUCCGAAACUUGAGGUAAGGGCAAGGCAAAGUUAGAACAACCAUGAGAUGGCGGUCUUCUCUAGUAAUGUACAUAUUGACCCCACCAGCCUGCGUGUUGAGUUGCCAAGAGUUGUUUUAGACUGGCUGUGUCUGCUGUAUUUUGAAUUGUGUUUUGAAUUGUUGUUGUAUAUCAUCUUUUGGAUAAAUCUUUUAUAACAGGGAUUCCUGGAACUCCUUUUUACUGCCAUUAUAAUGUCCAUUUUUAGUGUUUUAUUUUA